rnacentral:rRNA from 1 species
GAUGAACGCUGGCGGCGUGCCUAAUACAUGCAAGUCGAGCGAACAGACGAUGAGCUUGCUCCUCUGUCGUUAGCGGCGGGCGGGUGAGUAACACGUGGAUAACCUCCCUAUAAUUCUGGGAUAACUACGGGACACCGGAGCUAAUACCGGAUAAUCUAUUGCACCGCAUGGGUCAUUAGUGAGAUACGGUUUUGCUGUCACUUAUAGCUGGAUCCGCGCCGCAUUAGAUAGUUGGGAAGUUAACGGCUUACCAAGGCAACGAUGCGUAGCCGACGUGAGAGGCUGAUAGGCCACACGGGAACGGAGCCAGGGUCCAGAGGACUACGAGACGCAGCAGUAGGGAAUCUGCCGCAAUGGGCGAAAGCCUGACGGAGUAACGCCGAGUGAGAGAUGAAGGUCUUCGGAGCGGAAAACUCUGUUAUGAGGGAAGAACCAAUGUGUAAGUAAAUAUGCCCGUAGUGACGGUAACUAAUAAGAAAGCACCGGCUAACUACGUG